AUACCUUCUCGGCCUUUUGGCUAAGAUCAAGNGUAGUAUCUGUUCUUAUCAGCUUAAUAUCUGAUACAGCACACUUGUGUGUCGAUGAGUUGAUGUGAAUUUUUCACGGGGGUGGCGGGUAGCUCUGAGGCAAACUCAGAGUCCGCCACACGUGUUGCCCUGGAGCUGCACUACAUCAGGAGUUGGCACACCCGAU
rnacentral:snRNA from 12 species